CCAGACUCCUACGGGAGGCAGCAGUAGGGAAUCUUCGGCAAUGGGGGGAACCCUGACCGAGCAACGCCGCGUGAGUGAAGAAGGUUUUCGGAUCGUAAAGCUCUGUUGUUAAGGAAGAACGAGUGUGAGAAUGGAAAGUUCAUACUGUGACGGUACUUAACCAGAAAGGGACGGCUAACUACGUGCCAGCAGCCGCGGUAAUACGUAGGUCCCGAGCGUUGUCCGGAUUUAUUGGGCGUAAAGCGAGCGCAGGCGGUUAGAUAAGUCUGAAGUUAAAGGCAGUGGCUCAACCAUUGUAGGCUUUGGAAACUGUUUAACUUGAGUGCAGAAGGGGAGAGUGGAAUUCCAUGUGUAGCGGUGAAAUGCGUAGAUAUAUGGAGGAACACCGGUGGCGAAAGCGGCUCUCUGGUCUGUAACUGACGCUGAGGCUCGAAAGCGUGGGGAGCGAACAGGAUUAGAUACCCUGGUAGUCCACGCCGUAAACGAUGAGUGCUAGGUGUUAGGUCCUUUCCGGGACUUAGUGCCGCAGCUAACGCAUUAAGCACUCCGCCUGGGGAGUACGACCGCAAGGUUGAAACUCAAAGGAAUUGACGGGGGCCCGCACAAG
rnacentral:rRNA from 1 species